UACGAAGGGUGCAAGCGUUAAUCGGAAUUACUGGGCGUAAAGCGUGCGUAGGCGGUUUGUUAAGUCUGUUGUGAAAUCCCCGGGCUCAACCUGGGAAUGGCAAUGGAUACUGGCAGGCUAGAGUGUGUCAGAGGAUGGUGGAAUUCCCGGUGUAGCGGUGAAAUGCGUAGAGAUCGGGAGGAACAUCAGUGGCGAAGGCGGUCUGCUGGGCCGUUGCUGACGCUGAGGCGCGACAGCGUGGGGAGCAAACAGG
rnacentral:rRNA from 1 species